CAUAUAUACCUAUGAAUGUGAAAUGUAUUCAUUUUGUGUUUUGUUCUUUCUGCAGCAGGGAGAGUUAAGUCUUGUGGGCUGCAUAACUAAAUUCCCAGAGUGAUUUCCAUAGAUUUCCCUUCCUAUUUCCUGACAUGUUUGGGAUCGCUGGUGUCAGCAGGGGGAAUAACAAGUCAAAUGAGCGGCAGAAACGCCAACGAACUUACACUGUGUUGCUGUAUGAACCCGACUACAAACAACAACUUAAAUAUUAAAAAGGAACAAAUGCAGCCUAGUGUUUUAUCCAAGGUGUAUAUUGCUGGGCUCUGCCACAAAAUGUCAAAUCUUGCAGCAUUUCCAGUUGCGGGAUUAUUAUUCAUAGACCUGUAAAGAUUUCUAAUUUACGUUGUUUCAAAGGUUGCAGCCAACUUAAAUCAAAGUCUUGCUGUCUUUUAUUUAUCCUAGUGCCAUUCUGCGGAAUGGAGAGUUUCUGUUCAUGACUGACGUCUUAGGCGCAAAUUAGCCCUAAUGUUAAAUCUCGUAUUUGCAUUGAGGCGGCAGGGGUUUUUUUAAAUAAAAAAAACCCCACACAUGAGAUGCAAAGAUUUAUCUGCUUAUAUUAUUUAUAUCUUCUUGUUUGCCCAAAGACCUCAGGGAGGGUUACAGCAAUUAAACAUUGUCAUAAUCAAAUAUUAAAUCAGGUAAAAGCCACCACCAACUAACUGUA